rnacentral:rRNA from 1 species
UACGAAGGGGGCUAGCGUUGCUCGGAAUUACUGGGCGUAAAGGGCGCGUAGGCGGAUAGUUCAGUUGGGGGUGAAAGCCCGGGGCUCAACCUCGGAACUGCCUUCAAUACUGGCUAUCUUGAGUACGGGAGAGGUGUGUGGAACUCCGAGUGUAGAGGUGAAAUUCGUAGAUAUUCGGAAGAACAUCAGUGGCGAAGGCGGUCUGCUGGGCCGUUGCUGACGCUGAGGCGCGACAGCGUGGGGAGCAAACAGG